AAGUCGUAACAAGGUUUCCGUAGGUGAACCUGCGGAAGGAUCAUUAACACUGUUCUUUUACAGUUUUAAAAACCCCAAACUAAUGUGAACAGAGAAACUCCCGUUUCUCUCCCUCUCCCCUAUUUUUUUUAUCAAAACUCAAAAACUUUCUUUUAAUUUCUCUUGAAAUGAACUGAAAAAUACACAACGAAAAAAAAUUGGACAGUUUUUUACUGUUCUUUUUUUGACUAGUUAAUGAAAUGCUGAACAACUCUUAACAACGGAUAUCUUGGUUCUC
rnacentral:misc_RNA from 1 species